UACGUAGGGUGCGAGCGUUAAUCGGAAUUACUGGGCGUAAAGCGUGCGCAGGCGGUUUUGUAAGCCAGAUGUGAAAUCCCCGGGCUCAACCUGGGAACUGCGUCCGAUACUGGAUGGCUUGAAUCCGGGAGAGGGAUGCAGAAUUCCAGGUGUAGCGGUGAAAUGCGUAGAUAUCAGGAGGAACACCGGUGGCGAAGGCGGGUCUCUGGACAGUUCCUGACACUGAGGCACGAAGGCCAGGGGAGCAAGCGGG
rnacentral:rRNA from 1 species